GUCUAGAUCCAGCCCGUCUGCCUCCGGUACAUUAGGCUCCCUGACUAGUCUAGAUCCAGCCAGUCUGCCUCCGGUACAUUAGCCUUCCUGUCUAGAUCCAGCCAGUCUGCUUCCCGUACAUUAGCCUCCCUGACUAGAUCCAGCCAGUCUGCUUCCCGUACAUUAGCCUCCCAGACUAGUCUAAAUCCAGCCAGUCUGCCUCCCGUACAUUAGCCUUCCCAUACAAGACACAGACAAGCAAUACAGUCUCUAAUAUCAGCAACCCCGCUCUGAGUAUAACCUCUCCCCCGACUGGUCUCCCCUGACUAAAAAGAUGCUGAAAUGAACCUGGUAUGUCCGCUCUAUU
rnacentral:lncRNA from 1 species